AUGCCGCCGCUGGCCGCUCUGCUCCUCCUGCUGUGGGCCGCAGCCUCCUCGGCCUCCGCCGCCGCCAGCUUCACCUGCGCCAAACCGAGCACAUGCCGCUCCGCCGUUGCCUACGUCGUCCCCAUCGCCACCACCUACGAGCAACUCGCUUCCCGCUUCAGCCCCAGCGUCACCCUUCAACACCUCUUCGCCGCCAACCAACUCCCGCCCCACACCGACACGAGCCAAGCCAUUCCCGCGAAAACAUCCGUGCGCAUCCCCUUCAGGUGCCGCUGCGCCGGCGGCGUGGGCCAGUCGGACCUGGAGAUCUACACCGGCGGCCGUGGCGAUGACUACUUCAUGGAGGUCGUCACCGCCAACAACGUUGCCGCGGGCAAAUACUAUGGGCGGAGGCUGCUGCCCUGCAGCUGCGACAAGGUGGACGGCUGCAACGUGAUGCACCUUGCCUACGUGAUCCUCCGCACAGGCGACAACACCUCCGAGAUCGCCGCCAAGUAUGGGCUGCGGGACGCAACGCUGCUCAGGAUCAAUAAUAUCACUAGCAGCCAGCUGCUGCUUCGCCAAGGCCACAUUCUUGAUAUCCCGCUAUUCCAAGGAAUGGGCACAUGGUCCAGCGUACAUUAUAUCUCAGCACAUAGGAGAAGAAGAUUAGAAGAUGGGAAUGGUGAGAUUAAGGCAACAAGAGUACUUAACAUUGUAAAAGUAUUUAUACCCGUUGUGAGCGUUCUUGUGUAUCUCAUUACAACAUGGUGUUACUGGAGAAAUGCACGCAAUUCCCUCUCGUCGGGGGCGAAUGGCUUUAUGGAAUUCGGUUAUAGAGAUCUGGCUUGCGCCACGAACAGAUUCUCCAGAGAUGCUCUUCUUGGAGAGGGUAAGUUUGGUGCAGUAUAUAAGGCGACGUUCAAGGGCCAGGAAGUGGCGGUGAAGAGAAUAAAAGCAGAGGGAAAGCUUGAGGACUUCCACCGCGAGCUCCAGACAGUUGGUAACACGAGGCACGAGAAUCUAGUUGACCUCAAAGGUUGGUGCGGCAAAGUCAGAGUGAUCGAUGGCAAGACUUGGUGGAAAAGGGUUAUCAAGGUUGAACUCUUCCUUGUCUUUGAAUUCAUACCUAAUGGCGACCUUGAACACCACCUGCACAACAGCGACCAAGUUCUAUCAUGGGACAAAAGGUACAAAAUAGUGAAGGGGAUAGGGUCAGCCCUUCAUUAUCUCCAUCACGAGUGCAAUCCAUGCAUCUUGCAUAGAGAUAUCAAGCCUGGUAACAUACUCCUGGAUGAGUAUUUCAACGCUAAGCUUGGGGACUUCGGGCUAUCCAUGAUCGCCAGCAAAAACAGAGCAACAGUGAUCACAACCGCCGUGGGGUCAGUGGGAUACAUGGAUCCACAACUCAUGAAAGACGGGGCUGUGGAGUUCAGCCGUAAGUCGGACGUCUACAGCUUCGGAAUCGUCCUACUAAAGAUUGCAUGUACGCAAAAAUCAAGGGAGGAAGUCUGGCAGAUGCGCGGUGGCAGUGAGCAGCAAGUUCAUGUGGAUGGUGUUGUGGAUGACAGGUUAAGCUUCUUUGACCAUACCGAAAUGGAGCGUGUGGUUGUCCUUGGCCUCAAGUGUUCUCACUCAGAAGAGGCACAACGACCUUCAAUGGAGGAUGCAAUGAAAUUCCUAGAGGACGGCCAAGAGUUUCCUGCCACAACACAAGGACACGGCAGCUAUGGUGCGCCUUGCACUGUAAAUGAGGAGGCACCUAUGAUGACACAUGGUGAUGUCUCUUCUUGUUACCCUUGA
rnacentral:rRNA from 1 species